AAGCCAGAGAAAUAAAGAUAUUCCAAACAUGUUGGACGUUCUAAAGGAUAUGAAUAAGGUUAAGCUUCGUGCAAUUGAGCGGUCACCUGGCGGUAGACCCAUUCAUAAGAGGAAAAGACAGAAUUCACAUUGGGAUCCAGUUUCUUUAAUAUCUCAUGCACUUAAACAGAAAUUUGCAUUUCAAGAAGAUGAUUCUUUUGAGAAAGAGAAUAGAUCUUGGGAAUCUUCCCCAUUUUCUAGUCCAGAAACUUCAAGGGUAAGCUACACUAAUGUAAAAUUAAUUUUUCAGUUUUUCUCAGAUGUGUUGUUUAUGUUACAGCUUUGUGUUCAAGUUCUCUUGAAGUAAUUGUGCAGAAUGGGCUAUAUAAUUGUUUAUUGAUGCUGCUAAUGUUUCUGGGGUUUUUUUGUUGUUAAUUUUAUAUGCUCAUUUUCACUUU
rnacentral:lncRNA from 1 species